rnacentral:tRNA from 1 species
UGGUCCCUAGCUCAAGUGGCAGAGCGCCCCAACCCGGGCAUGUAACGGGGUGGUUCCUGGUUCGAAUCCAGGGGGAUCAA